UACGGAGGGAGCUAGCGUUGUUCGGAAUUACUGGGCGUAAAGCGCGCGUAGGCGGCUUUGUAAGUUAGAGGUGAAAGCCCGGGGCUCAACCCCGGAAUUGCCUUUAAGACUGCAUCGCUAGAAUCCGGGAGAGGUGAGUGGAAUUCCGAGUGUAGAGGUGAAAUUCGUAGAUAUUCGGAAGAACACCAGUGGCGAAGGCGGCUUGCCAGAACGCGCUCGACGGUGAGGGAUGAAAGCUGGGGGAGCAAACCGG
rnacentral:rRNA from 1 species